rnacentral:rRNA from 1 species
AGUGAACGCUGGCGGUAGGCCUAACACAUGCAAGUCGAACGGCAGCACAGUAAGAGCUUGCUCUUACGGGUGGCGAGUGGCGGACGGGUGAGGAAUACAUCGGAAUCUACUUUUUCGUGGGGGAUAACGUAGGGAAACUUACGCUAAUACCGCAUACGACCUACGGGUGAAAGCAGGGGAUCUUCGGACAUUGCGCGAGUGAAUGAGCCGAUGUCGGAUUAGCUAGUUGGCGGGGUAAAGGCCCACCAAGGCGACGAUCCGUAGCUGGUCUGAGAGGAUGAUCAGCCACACUGGAACUGAGACACGGUCCAGACUCCUACGGGAGGCAGCAGUGGGGAAUAUUGGACAAUGGGCGCAAGCCUGAUCCAGCCAUACCGCGUGGGUGAAGAAGGCCUUCGGGUUGUAAAGCCCUUUUGUUGGGAAAGAAAAGCAGCAGGUUAAUACCCCGCUGUUCUGACGGUACCCAAAGAAUAAGCACCGGCUAACUUCGUG